AUCUUGGUCAAUUUAGAUGAUUCUGGCUUCUUUCCGUGGUUCUGUUCAGCUUCAACUACGAGUGUUCAGGAGCUGGCAUGAACUAUUUCCAAUGUAAUUUAAACUUGGAAUGACUUCUGAUCAGAAUUCUUUUGAUAUUAGUAGGGAAUUGUAAAAACAAUUUAUGAUAAAGAACUGAUUUUUGGAAUAAUUUAAACCAAUUUCCUGGCCUCAGGUUUGUACAUCUUGUUUUAAUAGUAAUAUUGUCCAGAAUAUUGGAAUUAUAAUGAAACUAUGAUUUGGAGGUAGGUUGAAAUUAGUCAUUAUAAAUAAUGUUGAAAUCUGUAACGUUGAUUCUGUCCUCUAAAUCUUUGUAGGUAAUGGCUAUCUGGUGGCACCCUCCUGGUUGAUAGUCUCUAGCUUGGAGAAAAUUUGCAAUACAAGCUUUGAGAAUUUUGGUGAGCCUUCUGGUGAGUUGCAGUUCUUAAGAAGCUUGCAUUUGACAGCAAGGAAACUGGAAA
rnacentral:misc_RNA from 1 species